CCUACGGGGGGCAGCAGUGGGGAAUAUUGCACAAUGGGGGAAAGCCUGAUGCAGCGACGCCGCGUGAGUGAAGACGUACUUCGGUAUGUAAAGCUCUAUCAACAGGGAAGAAAUAGCGACCUUUGGGUCGCCAGACGGUACCUGACUAAGAAGCCCCGGCUAACUACGUGCCAGCAGCCGCGGUAAUACGUAGGGGGCAAGCGUUAGCCGGAUUUACUGGGUGUAAAGGGAGAGUAGACGGCAGCAUAAGUCUGAAGUGAAAUGCCGGGGCUUAACCCCGGAACUGGUUUUGAAACUGUGCAGCUAGAGUGCAGGAGAGGUAAGUGGAAUUCCUAGUGUAGCGGUGAAAUGCGUAGAUAUUAGGAGGAACACCAGUGGCGAAGGCGGCUUACUGGACUGUAACUGACGUUGAGGCUCGAAAGCGUGGGGAGCAAACAGGAUUAGAUACCCGGGUAGUC
rnacentral:rRNA from 1 species